rnacentral:miRNA from 1 species
UGGAAGACUAGUGAUUUUGUUGUUUUUAGAUAACUAAAUUGACAACAAAUCACAGUCU